rnacentral:rRNA from 1 species
UACGUAGGGUCCGAGCGUUGUCCGGAAUUACUGGGCGUAAAGCGCGCGCAGGCGGCCCGCGAGGUGUCACGUGAAAGCCCCGGGCCUCAACCCGGGAGGGUCGUGGCAAACCGGCGGCUUGAGGCCGGUAGAGGUGGGUGGGAACUCCUGGUGGAGUGGUGAAAUGCGUAGAGAUCAGGAAGAACACCCGUGGCGAAGGCGGCCCACUGGGCCCGGUACUGGACGCU